rnacentral:misc_RNA from 1 species
GAAAUGCGAUAAGUAAUGUGAAUUGCAGAAUUCAGUGAAUCAUCGAAUCUUUGAACGCACCUUGCGCUCCUUGGUAUUCCUUGGAGCAUGCCUGUUUGAGUAUCAUGAAAUCUUCAAAGUAAAUCUUUUGUUAACUCAAUUGGUUUCUACUUUGGUAUUGGAGGUCUUUGCAGCUUCACACCUGCUCCUCUUUGUUCAUUAGCUGGAUCUCAGUGUUAUGCUUGGUUCCACUCGGCGUGAUAAGUUAUCUAUCGCUGAGGACACUGUAAAAGGUGGCCAAGGUAAAUGCAGAUGAGCCGCUUCUAAUAGUCCAUUGACUUGGACAAUACUUUUAUGAUCUGAUCUCAAAUCAGGUAGUACUACCCGCUGAACUUAAGC